GGGUGCGACAAAACUAGCACUAGUGCACCAGAUCCCAUCAGAACUCCGCAGUUAAGCAUGCUUAGGUGAGAGUAGUAUUGGGAUGGGUGACUUCCUGGGAAGUCCUCAUGUUGCACCAU